GUUGGCUGUAAUUGUAACUGUAUACUUAUAAGUAUACUAAUCAUAAUUAAUGAACCGAAUUCUCCGAGGCUGUUAGUUACACAUGAUUAUGUGGCACUACCGUACCGUCGCGAAAAUAAGCCCAUCUUGAAUAAACGCCCAUCCCCUCUUUUGCCUCGAAGUUCUUGCACAAGGGUAUUUUCACUCGAUUAUAAGCCCAUCAUCCAGCUACUAUUACUAUCACGUGUCCAGAACUGACGUCAUAAUUGUGGUGAAUUUUUGCAUAGUGGUAGCUUUUAGAAAAGCUGGUUAGUGACAGAGUUAGUGCUAGCGCUAGCGCAGUGAGUUAGCCUCUAUUUAUAUUCAGUCUCUUUGCUAGCUACAUGUAGAACAGUCAUGAGUUUCUCUAUGUGAUUUCGCUUGCCCUCAAAAAUGUAGAUGCAGGGAACAACUAGCCCUUUCCCACGGAUCUCGGAACGAUGUCGAUCCCCGGUGACUUUGCAGGUUAUCUUACUGUUCCUUCUGUGGAGAAAGUACCAGAAUGUACUGGAUAGCUCUCUAGGAACAUGACCGACGACUUGUCCACCUUUCCAUGCUGCUACAGAAUGGACAUCAAAAACAUUUCCAUGGUCAGCAGUAACUUCGAGGUUCUCAUUGAUGUGUGGUGUCCAUAUCUCCUUGAAUACAUGAUGUCCUCGAAUGGUGGAUUCAAUUCUAAAGGAGGAUGAACCAGAAAGCAAUGAUGUCAACGAGAUUGAUCCGUUUUCAGAGGAUGAAAGUGACACUGACUGACUACAAUAAUUAUUUUGCCUAAACCCAAACUUUAUAUAGCUUCAUUGAGCUAUUGUGUUAGCAUUAUCAUAAUUAUUAUAAUGGUAUCAUAUAUAUAGACUGCGCACAAAAAAGGUAACUGAAAAAUGAAAAAAAAUUUUUUUUGCUGA